UCUCUUCUUCUCCUGUGUCUCAGAAGCCAUGUGCACACUUAGAGCCCUGCAGCCUGAGAAUUAAUUGUACAGGCAGGCUUUCUUGCUAGGCAUUUGCCUGGCUGUGAUUUUCUGUUAGAAGCUGCUGGGUCAGGAGCUAUGAAAUCAGGCUCCAUCAACUUCAGCACACGGUGGAGGAGAAAGGCUCUGCUUGUGUUUCCAAUCUGGACAGAAGUUGUUUAAUAGUUAAAGAUUUUGUUUUUGUUGUUCUGUAAUCCAGUUGUGUUUGAUCCUAAAGAAGUGUUACCUACUGGCCAAGUAUAUCUUCUGUAUUUUGAAGUUGCAGCUAUGGACAGUUGUGGCUAAUCUGAGUAUUAUUGUUUCCUCUCCUUUAUUUGUAAGACAGGAUCUCUCUUCGUAUAGCCCUGGCUGUCCUGAGACUCACGGGGAUCCUCCUGCCUCUGCCUCUGCCUCUGAGAGCUGGGAUUAUUGGCUAAAGGCAUGCACCACUGUGCCUGGCCUCUGCCUUCCCUUUGAACGUGGAUGAAUUUGGGGGCAUACUAAUGUGUUAUGUGAAGGUUGAUGCUGAAUGUAAAACUUUUCUGCCAUUCUUAGUAAUACAUAAGGUUAUACUAACUUAGUCAUUAAAAAUACUAAGGAGCCGGGCGUGGUGGCGCACGCCUUUAAUCCCAGCACUCGGGAGGCAGAGGCAGGCGGAUUUCUGAGUUCGAGGCCAGCCUGGUUGGUCUACAAAGUGAGUUCCAGGUCAGCCAGGGCUAUACAGAGAAACCCUGUCUCGAAAAACCAAAACAAAAAACAAAAAAAAACAAAACAAAACUAAGAAUCUUGGUUUGGUGUUAUCUAGAUGUGCAGCAUUCCAUAGAAUAGCACAUGGUCUGUAGGGUGCCCUAGACAAUCUUUUUAAUAUGUCUAGUGACAGAGACUCCUGAGAACCAUGGUAAGCAGCACAUGUGAUCAUGAACAUGGGUGUAUUUUCUGUUCAGUUAGAAUAUUCUGGAAUUAGACAGCUGUGAUGAUGACACCAUUUUUGUUUUGUUUUUUUUAAAGAUUUAUUUAUUUAUUAUAUGUAAGUACAUUGUAGCUGUCUUCAGACACUCCAGAAGAGGGAGUCAGAUCUCGUUACGGAUGGUUGUGAGCCACCAUGUGGUUGCUGGGAUUUGAACUCUGGACCUUCGGAAGAGCAGCCGGGUGCUCUAACCCACUGAGCCAUCUCACCAGCCCCAUUUUUGUUUUUCUUUGAGACAGGGACUCACACCGAUCUGCCUGCCUCUCCCCCAUGUGCUGGGGUGACAUGUCCAGCGACACUGUUUUUUCUGCUUAAAAAAAUUUUUUUUAAUCAACAUGUUAGUUACCCUGACAUUUCUCCCUCCCGUCUUCCCAUUGCUCUGCUACCUCUCUUACAGCCCCCCUUCCCUUCUUCAGGCGUUGUCUCAGCUAGCUCAGGCUGGCCUCAGACUUGCUGGCCUUCCAAGUGUGACCUUGAACUUCAGAUCUUCCUGCCUCCACUUGAGUGCUGAAAUUACAGUGUGUAGAAUUUGACAGCACUCUCAAGAGCUGAGGAGAAAGCGAAGAUGGAAAGGAGUCUAGCAACUAAAAGCAGACAUAGCAUUCUCUGUGAAGUGACCUUUUCCUGUUGGUGGCUCAGUUUAUUUAGGAGAUAAAGAAGAUAAAGAUAGAUAAAGAAGAAACUGAAUUUAUCCAGUGGUUCCUCCCUUUAUUUCUGUGUCACAGUUUGCAUCCCAUGUUCAGCAUUGACCCGCAUGGCCACCGUCAGUCCUGAAAGCUUGGCUUCAUAACGAGGACUGGGGAGGUUCAGGUCUCAUCAUGGCUUAUAUACAGAACAGCUCUCAUGGGGGAGAAGUAGAUGGAAUCCAGGGAAAAAGCUGAUUAAAUCCUUCUAGAUGGUGUGCUAGUGAUUAAAGUUUUAACGAGU